CGAACGCUGGCGGCGUGCUUAACACAUGCAAGUCGAACGGAAAGGCCCUGCUUUUGUGGGGUGCUCGAGUGGCGAACGGGUGAGUAACACGUGAGUAACCUGCCCUUGACUUUGGGAUAACUUCAGGAAACUGGGGCUAAUACCGGAUAGGAGCUCCUGCUGCAUGGUGGGGGUUGGAAAGUUUCGGCGGUUGGGGAUGGACUCGCGGCUUAUCAGCUUGUUGGUGGGGUAGUGGCUUACCAAGGCUUUGACGGGUAGCCGGCCUGAGAGGGUGACCGGGCACAUUGGGACUGAGAUACGGCCCAGACUCCUACGGGAGGCAGCAGUGGGGAAUAUUGCACAAUGGGCGGAAGCCUGAUGCAGCAACGCCGCGUGCGGGAUGACGGCCUUCGGGUUGUAAACCGCUUUCGCCUGUGACGAAGCGUGAGUGACGGUAAUGGGUAAAGAAGCACCGGCUAACUACGUG
rnacentral:rRNA from 1 species